AUUGAACGCUGGCGGUAGGCCUAACACAUGCAAGUCGAACGGCAGCACAGUAAGAGCUUGCUCUUACGGGUGGCGAGUGGCGGACGGGUGAUGAAUACAUCGGAAUCUACUUUUUCUUGGGGGCUAACGUAGGGACACUUACGCUAAUACCGCAUACGACCUACGUGUGAAAUUAUCGGAUCUUCGGACCUUGCGCGAUUGUAUGAGCCGAUGUCGGAUUAGCUAGUUGGCGGGGUAAAGGCCCACCAAGGCGACGAUCCGUAGCUGGUCUGAGAGGAUGAUCAGCCACACUGGAACUGAGACACGGUCCAGACUCCUACGGGAGGCAGCAGUGGGGAAUAUUGGACAAUGGGCGAAAGCCUGAUCCAGCCAUACCGCGUGUGUGAAGAAGGCCUUCGGGUUGUAAAGCCCUUUUGUUGGGAAAGAAAAGCAGCAGGUUAAUACCUCGCUGUUCUGACGGUACCCAAAGAAUAAGCACCGGCUAACUUCGUG
rnacentral:rRNA from 1 species